AAAGGCAAGAGGAAGAUGGCUUGGCUCAGCUGGGAGAAAAUGGCAUUACCCAAGUCUAUGGGGGGCAUGGGGUUUAAGGAUAUGAGAGCGUUCAACCAAGCUUUGCUUGCUAAGCAAGCUUGGCGCCUAUUGGACAGCCCGGAUAGUUUGUGUGCUAGAUUACUACGGGCUAAGUAUUAUCCUCAUGGUAAUUUGCUUGAUAUAGUGUUUCCCGCGAGCUCUUCCGCGGUGUGGAAGGGGAUAGUCCAUGGACUGGACCUAUUGAAAAAAGGCAUAAUUUGGCGUGUGGGUGAUGGUACCUUAGUCAAGACAUGGCGAGAUCCUUGGAUCCCAAGGGGAAAUGAUUUUCGGCCAGUAACACCAAAGCGCAAUUGUAGAUUCAAUUGGGUGGCCGAUUUUAUUGAUGAACAUGGGGCAUGGAAUGUGCAAAGGCUGCGAGAACACUUCUGGGACCUAGACGUGCGAGAAAUCUUAAAGAUAAGAACAUCACCGAGAAGCGGCCAGGAUUUCCUUGCGUGGUUUCCGGAGAAAAGUGGUAUGUUUACAGUUCGGUCGGCGUAUCGACUUGCUCAUGAGACUUCACUCAAUCUUGGCGAGUCAAGCAACAGCCCGAAUGCCAGAGGUCUGUAUGGCAAAGAAUAUGGGGGGCCAAGGUUCCCCUCAAGAUGA
rnacentral:rRNA from 1 species